rnacentral:rRNA from 1 species
GGGUAGAGUAAUGCGUGACCAACCUGCCCCAUGCUCCAGAAUAGCUCUUGGAAACGGGUGGUAAUGCUGGAUGCUCCAACUUGACGCAUGUCUUGUUGGGAAAGUGUUUAGUGGCAUGGGAUGGGGUCGCGUCCUAUCAGCUUGUAGGCGGGGUAAUGGCCCACCUAGGCUUCGACGGGUAGCCGGCCUGAGAGGGCGGACGGCCACACUGGGACUGAGAUACGGCCCAGACUCCUACGGGAGGCAGCAGGC